UACGUAGGGUGCAAGCGUUGUCCGGAAUCAUUGGGCGUAAAGCGCGCGUAGGCGGCCUCAUAAGUCCGCUGUGAAAGUCCAAGGCUCAACCUUGGAAAGCCGGUGGAUACUGUGAGGCUAGAGUACGGAAGAGGCGAGUGGAAUUCCUGGUGUAGCGGUGGAAUGCGCAGAUAUCAGGAGGAACACCAAUAGCGAAGGCAGCUCGCUGGGACGUUACUGACACUGAGGCGCGAAAGCGUGGGGAGCGAACAGG
rnacentral:rRNA from 1 species